rnacentral:rRNA from 1 species
CCUACGGGCGGCAGCAGUGGGGGAUAUUGCACAAUGGGGGAAACCCUGAUGCAGCGACGCCGCGUGGGCGAAGAAGUAUUUCGGUAUGUAAAGCCCUAUCAGCAGGGAAGAAGAAAUGACGGUACCUGAGUAAGAAGCACCGGCUAAAUACGUGCCAGCAGCCGCGGUAAUACGUAUGGUGCAAGCGUUAUCCGGAUUUACUGGGUGUAAAGGGAGCGCAGGCGGCACGGCAAGCCUGAUGUGAAAGCCCGCGGCCCAACCGCGGGACUGCAUUGGGAACUACCGGGCUGGAGUGCCGGAGAGGUAGGCGGAAUUCCUAGUGUAGCGGUGAAAUGCGUAGAUAUCAGGAGGAACAUCGGUGGCGUAAGCGCUUUACUGGGCCGUAAUUGACACUGAGGAACGAAAGCCGGGGUAGCAAAUGGGAUUAGAUACCCCAGUAGUC